rnacentral:lncRNA from 1 species
AGACAAAGGGGCGCCGGCGGCAUUGCCCACAGACGGGAACGGGGCAACGGGCGCCCAGUCGUCGGACUUCCUCGCAUCAGCAACCACCACCCUACAAACAUCGUUACUCGGGGCGCAGAUGGCAACGGCGGGGACACUGUUUCCCCGUCGCCGCCUGCGCUCUACCCUGCGCUUCACGGCCUCCUCUGUGAGGUCGACACGCGCAUGAAAUCCUGUCCGUGACGCUGUCGCCCGCCCUCGUUCCUCUUUUUUUGUCGAGUUGUUGUUGCGCGCGGGUUUGCGGUCUCUUUUUCGACCUUUUUGCGCCGCACUCUGAUGGG